CCUACGGGUGGCUGCAGUGGGGAAUAUUGCACAAUGGGCGCAAGCCUGAUGCAGCAACGCCGCGUGAGUGAUGAAGGUCUUCGGAUUGUAAAGCUCUGUCUUUUGGGACGAUAAUGACGGUACCAAAGGAGGAAGCCACGGCUAACUACGUGCCAGCAGCCGCGGUAAUACGUAGGUGGCAAGCGUUGUCCGGAUUUACUGGGCGUAAAGGGUGCGUAGGUGGAUAUUUAAGUCAGAUGUGAAACCCCUGGGCUCAACUCAGGGACUGCAUUUGAAACUGGAUAUCUGGAGUGCAGGAGAGGUAAGUGGAAUUCCUAGUGUAGCGGUGAAAUGCGUAGAGAUUAGGAAGAACACCAGUGGCGAAGGCGACUUACUGGACUGUAACUGACACUGAGGCACGAAAGCGUGGGUAGCAAACAGGAUUAGAUACCCGGGUAGUC
rnacentral:rRNA from 1 species